rnacentral:rRNA from 1 species
UCCUACGGGAGGCAGCAGUGGGGAAUAUUGGGCAAUGGGCGCAAGCCUGACCCAGCAACGCCGCGUGAAGGAAGAAGGCUUUCGGGUUGUAAACUUCUUUUAAGAGGGAAGAGCAGAAGACGGUACCUCUUGAAUAAGCCACGGCUAACUACGUGCCAGCAGCCGCGGUAAUACGUAGGUGGCAAGCGUUGUCCGGAUUUACUGGGUGUAAAGGGCGUGCAGCCGGGUCUGCAAGUCAGAUGUGAAAUCCAUGGGCUCAACCCAUGAACUGCAUUUGAAACUGUAGAUCUUGAGUGUCGGAGGGGCAAUCGGAAUUCCUAGUGUAGCGGUGAAAUGCGUAGAUAUUAGGAGGAACACCAGUGGCGAAGGCGGAUUGCUGGACGAUAACUGACGGUGAGGCGCGAAAGUGUGGGGAGCAAACAGGAUUAGAUACCCUGGUAGUCCACACUGUAAACGAUGAAUACUAGGUGUGCGGGGACUGACCCCCUGCGUGCCGCAGUAAACACAAUAAGUAUUCCACCUGGGGAGUACGAUCGCAAGGUUGAAACUCAAAGGAAUUGACGGGGGCCCGCACAAGCGGUGGAUUAUGUGGUUUAAUUCGAAGCAACGCGAAGAACCUUACCAGGGUUUGACAUCCUGCUAACGAAGUAGAGAUACAUUAGGUGCCCUUCGGGGAAAGCAGAGACAGGUGGUGCAUGGUUGUCGUCAGCUCGUGUCGUGAGAUGUUGGGUUAAGUCCCGCAACGAGCGCAACCC